rnacentral:snoRNA from 1 species
CUGCAGCCAAUUAAGCCGACCAGGUCCCUUUCUUCAUGGGAGCCAGGUGUGCAAUGGCUGCAAACAGCAACCUCCUCGGUAGUGUAUGCAGGCUGUUGCAUCCCUUGGAGAUAGUU